AGGAGUGUAGCUCAAUUGGUAGAGCACUGGUCUCCAAAACCAGAGGUUGUAGGUUCAAUUCCUAUCGCUCCUG
rnacentral:tRNA from 1 species